rnacentral:lncRNA from 1 species
CUGUCUAGAAAAGUCUGUGGUCGUCAUCUAAACUCCGCUAGAUGACUGAAUCAGCAACAGCAUCGAGGCCUCUGAUCAUUUUAUUUAAUCACACAUCAACUAUCUAUCCAUGUUUCACCCAACAUAUUGUAGAUAAANCAUGUUUCACCCAACAUAUUUGUAGAUAAAAAAAAAAUACAUAUACAACUUAAAACGUGUAUAAAACAUUCAUUCAACACUUAUCUCAAAUAAACAAAUAAUAUAUAAACAAAUAACACAUAUUUUAUAGAGAAUACUUCGUAUCUAUGUGUUAGAAGAAAAUGAAUAUACACUCACUUGAUAAGACGAUGAUCGGACAACACUAGGGCUCUUUAAAGUAAUAUUCUUCGAUGAAACCGGGAUGUUUUCUCAAAAAUCGCGUUUCACACGGGUAGAGUUUUGGCACGAAAACUCUUUUUCUCGGGAUCCUUGAGGCUUCGGGACUUGCUUCGGGU